UACAGGUUCAGUUGAUUUUGUUUAAUUGGAUAAAUUUGAUUUUGGCAAUGGAAUUAAAGAACUUAUGUUUUCCUUUGAGAUGAAAACGAUUUUCUACUCCUCGUGGUAGCGUGUUUUAAAGAAAAAGGGUUUCCGUGUGGAAAAUGGUUUUGAAAAGAUUUUCUCGUGGUUUUCAGAAAUUAGGAUUUCAAAAUGAGUUUCCAGGUAGGAAACAUUUUAAAACCAAUAGUUGUGGACUUAUGAUUAAAACUCUGAAAGUGAAUUCGAAUGUGAAUGAUGUAUGAAUGUAUGAAUGUAUGGAUGUUUAUAUAUUCAAUUAUGGUGGUUGUAUCAUGUUUAUGUAUCUUGUACUUGUGCAACGCCAUACAAAUACAGGGGAGAUUCUGUCGAUGUGAACAGUGAACUCUCUGUAUUUGUGGCGGAUCUGGCAAACCCUGGGGGUCAGGUUUAAAAGAAAAAAAAAUUGGACACUUCUGCAUUGCUUUUAAAUCAAAAAGGGACCCUGGGGCGUGGCAGGCUUGCAUAUAUAUUGCAUCUCUGUGGACCUUGGGUUCAGGCAACACAUUGACUCCUUUGUCGUAUGUUUCGAUCUGGUUGAUCGUUGUUCGGCGUUGUACGCCCUUAUAUCUGGCUUCGGCCAAGGCACCGGUUUCAGCCGACUUUGGCAUUGAGCAUAUCAACAUGACUUAGUCACAGUACUUGGGUGUAUUCAUGACACCAGGUAGGUUUGGCCACCGACCGGAGGUGUACUUAUCCGGAUGGGUCGUCCAGUGGGCGGAUGAAUCAGGUCGGUGCAAGCAUUGUGACAGGCAACGCUUGAGGUCUGCGGACCAAUAUAGCAGGCACCAGAUUGGGUACAGUUUUGAGUUGAUUACCUUGAGGCAUGCUAAGCAUUGUAUUCCUUACAGUAGCCGUUUUAUUACUUGCUUCGUAUCAUAUCUGUUAUAGCUACUGUAGUUCUCUUUCGUAUCACAACAUCUGUAUUUGUUUACUUUACCUCCUUCGGUUUUCGGUGAUUACAACUUGCCUUCGUGGCUCUAUCGUACCCACUGAAAAACUUUGAUUGUGGUUUCUCACCCCCCAUUUUCCCAGGUGGUUCGGGCAAGGAGUUGGCAUUUGGACCGACAGGAGGACGCCCUAGCUAGGCUACAGUAGUGGUCGUCACCCUGUUUAUGUUUUAUUUCUGCAUUUAGUAAAUUAAUAAUUAAAUGGUUCAGUUAGAUGAUCACUAUGAAUAUUUGGAUAUUUGUGAAUUAGUUUGAGUUGAUGAUUUACUAUGAUGCUUGCAAUUGGAGUUUAUGGAUCUUCGGUUUUGGAAUUAUGUAUUUAUACUUUGUGAUUUUCUACCCCUCGAGGUAGUCGGUUUCAAAAUGGAGUUUCCGAGUGGAAAACAGUUUUAAAAAGAUUUUUGAAUGGUUUUUGUCAAUGAUUGGAUAGAGUUUAAAAUAAAGCUUCCGAGUCGGGAGCACUUUUAAUAGGAUGACUAUUGUAUUGUGCAUCGCAUCAUCCAGCGCCUAAGGAGUUUUUAGAGGCAUGCAUCAUUUCUAAGGAUCGCUAGCUGUAUAGAAAUGCAUAGCAUGAAUUGAUUGUGGAUUGGUAAAUGUAGGUUGUUGUUGUGAUCCUGAUGUUGUUGUUGGUAUGCCAUACAAAUAUAAAGGAGACUCUGUCCGAGUAGUUAGAGAAACUUUGUAUUUGUG
rnacentral:lncRNA from 1 species